UUGGUAUCUUGGUUAUCCAUGAAUAAGAAGACAUGGAGCAGAAAUGCAUUUGCUUCAGUGGCAAUUGUAUGCUUUUCAUUUGACUGCCAAAGAGACCACUUCAGGAAGGUGAAUUAUCUAAAGAAAAAUGGAAGACAGGAGUAGAUCCAGGCUGUUCUGUUUUUAAAGAAGACCACUACCCUUGUCUUCCUGCCAGCGUAAAUAAAGCCUCUUUUCCCUCUGGCUUUACUGACUUCUACUGACUGCACCGAGUGAGGAACCCAGAUUUGGGCAGUGCCCCUUCUACAUAUUGAAGUCUUCCGUGCUAUUUAAUUAAAGGGAACAGAA